rnacentral:tRNA from 2 species
GCCACCUUAGCUCAGUUGGUAGAGCGCACCCAUGGUAAGGGUGAGGUCCGCGGUUCAAUCCCGCGAGGUGGCU